rnacentral:rRNA from 1 species
CCUACGGGAGGCAGCAGUGAGGAAUAUUGGUCAAUGGGCGCGAGCCUGAACCAGCCAAGUAGCGUGAAGGAUGACUGCCCUACGGGUUGUAAACUUCUUUUAUAAAGGAAUACAGUGAGGCACGUGUGCCUUUUUGUCUGUACUUUAUGAAUAAGGAUCGGCUACCUCCGUGCCAGCAGCCGCGGUAAUACGGAGGCUCCGAGCGUUAUCCGGAUUUAGUGGGUUUAAAGGGAGCGUAGAUGGGUUGUUAAGGCAGGUGGUAAAGUUUGCGGCUCAACCGUAAAAUUGCAAUUGAUACUGGCAGUCUUGAGUACAGUUGAGGUAGGCGGAAUUCGUGGUGUAGCGGUGAAAUGCUUAGAUAUCACGAAGAACUCCGAUUGCGAAAGCAGCUUACUAAACUGCCACUGACAUUGAUGCUCGAAAGUGUGGGUAUCAAACAGGAUUAGAUACCCUUGUAGUC